UGAAAUAAUGGCGAUGGAGUUCGCCAAUAACCGCAUUUUGUGCUGAUGACUCCUACUUUUUG
rnacentral:ncRNA from 2 species